GCAGCGCUUUGCUGCGGAUGCGCGUGGCGAGCGCCUCGAACGCGCUCUCGACGAAGGUGAGGUCGGCGGCGUCCGAAUCGUCGGAUUGCG
rnacentral:tRNA from 1 species